GGCGCGGUGGCGCACGCCUGUAGUCCCAGCUACUCGGGAGGCUGAGACAGGAGGAUCGCUUGAGUCCAGGAGUUCUGGGCUGUAGUGCGCUAUGCCGAUCGGGUGUCCGCACUAAGUUCGGCAUCAAUAUGGUGACCUCCCGGGAGCGGGGGACCACCAGGUUGCCUAAGGAGGGGUGAACCGGCCCAGGUCGGAAACGGAGCAGGUCAAAACUCCCGUGCUGAUCAGUAGUGGGAUCGCGCCUGUGAAUAGCCACUGCACUCCAGCCUGGGCAACAUAGCGAGACCCCGUCUCUUUUG